rnacentral:tRNA from 1 species
AGAACAUAGCUUAAUAAAAGCCUUCGCUUACACCGAGAUAAAGUCCGUUCAACCCUGACUGUUCUGAG